GGAUGGACCUCUGGAGAGUCCCUUUCAAUAGGGCGCCGAAGGUGCAAGUCGGGAUGCAAGUGACCGAUGAAACUCUCAGGCAAAAGGACAGAGGGCAGGCU
rnacentral:ncRNA from 2 species